UGCUAAUCUGCGAUAAGCGCCGGUAAGGUGAUAUGAACCGUUAUAACCGGCGAUUUCCGAAUGGGGAAACCCAGUGUGAUUCGUCACACUAUCAUUAACUGAAUCCAUAGGUUAAUGAGGCGAACCGGGGGAACUGAAACAUCUAAGUACCCCGAGGAAAAGAAAUCAACCGAGAUUCCCCCAGUAGCGGCGAGCGAACGGGGAGGAGCCCAGAGCCUGAAUCAGCAUGUGUGUUAGUGGAAGCGUCUGGAAAGGCGCGCGAUACAGGGUGACAGCCCCGUACACAAAAGCGCAUGUGCUGUGAGCUCGAUGAGUAGGGCGGGACACGUGGUAUCCUGUCUGAAUAUGGGGGGACCAUCCUCCAAGGCUAAAUACUCCUGACUGACCGAUAGUGAACCAGUACCGUGAGGGAAAGGCGAAAAGAACCCCGGCGAGGGGAGUGAAAAAGAACCUGAAACCGUGUACGUACAAGCAGUGGGAGCACAGGUUUACCUGUGUGACUGCGUACCUUUUGUAUAAUGGGUCAGCGACUUAU
rnacentral:rRNA from 1 species